GCUUGAUAUGUUUAGGUGUUGAAUGACUAGUUUAGGUGGUUUGUUUGUGUACAAGCAAUGUUUUUAAAGUUACUAGGCUACUUAGUGGUAGUAGGUAGUAAUAACUGAUGUAGUUGGCUAUAAAUGUAUUGUUUUUCUUAUUGAAAAAUUAAGCAUAUCAGUUGUGAAACUUAGAUUGCUUCCUUGUUGCACGUUUGUGAGCAAGUAAAUUGUUUUUGUUUCUUCCUCAUUUGUUCUCUGUUUUGUUCUUUUUCUAAGAGCUGCUGCCAUUGUUCUUUCUUUUUCUUUUUUUCUGCCUGUUAACCGAGGGCUUAUGCUCUUGAUGCUUUGUGUUUCUGCUUGCUGUUUGAAGAGCUUAUGCUCUUAGUGUUUCAUUGUUUGGUUGUUGCUGCCAAAUGUUCCAACAAAUGGUAUCAGAGCCUAAGUCUUAAGGGGCCAUUGAUUUUGCUUCCGUUGCUUGUUAAAAAGAAAGAAGCUGUCAAAACACAAGCAAGUCAUUAAGGACUACUUGUAGAGAAGACAGCAUUGGCUCAAACUUAUGAGACCCCCAAACAAGCUUGAAUAAGCUGGAGGAGGAGUUUCAGUUUCAAGGAAAGGUGUGAGCUUUCCAAAUGUGCAAGCUUAGCAAGAUGUCAAAGCUGCAAGGUUAGCAAAGUGCGAGCCUGUUGAAGACACCUGUUGAAGACAAUAUGCAAAGAUAUGAGUCUGUCAAAGGUGUGAGCUCAGCAACAUGUGGAAGCUCAAUGCGUGUUGUAUAGUUGCAAGCCUGUUGAAGACAGUAAGCAAAGUGUGAGCCUGUCGAAUUGCAAGCAAAAAUGGCAGAAUGAAGGCAAGCAAACUAUACUCAAGAACUGUUUGUGCAAGAAGAAGCAAGAUUGUAGUGAACAAAGAAACAAGGUAAGAUGUGUAGUCAACCAAGGCUGUGAAGGAGGAGAAGACUCCAUUUGGUGAACAAAUCUUUGGCACAAAAAACUGGGAUAGUCAAGUGUGUAAGUUAGAUUUGUUUGUGAAUGAAGCCAAUGUUGAAAAUGAAUUGGUCAGCUUGAAACAAAACAUCUAAGGGCUGUCAAGUUCAAAAAACUUGAUGAAUGAUUGGUAUUUGCAGCAUGGAGUCCAAGGAGGAGUGUUGAAAUUGGCCAACCAUUCUGCUGUUACAGUGCAUGCAGCUUGAUGACAUGCUGCAACAUGUAUACUUGCUGUAACAGCAAGGUUUUCUUUUUAGUUUCUUUGUUGAUUAAACUACUUGGAAAUGAACAAGCUGAUGAUAGCUUGAUAUGUUUAGGUGUUGAAUGACUAGUUUAGAUGGUUUGUUUGUGUACAAGCAAUGUUUUUAAAGUUACUAGGCUACUUAGUGGUAGUAGGUAGUAAUAACUGAUGUAGUUGGCUAUAAAUGUAUUGUUUUUCUUAUUGAAAAAUUAAGCAUAUCAGUUGUGAAACUUAGAUUGCUUCCUUGCUGCACGUUUGUGAGCAAGUAAAUUAUUUUUGUUUCUUCCUCCUUUGUUCUCUGUUUUGUUCUUUUUUUAAGAGCUGCUGCCAUUGUUCUUUCUUUUUCUUUUUUCUGCCUGUUAACCGAGGGCUUAUGCUCUUGAUGCUUUGUGUUUCUGCUUGCUGUUUGAAGAGCUUAUGCUCUUAGUGUUUCAUUGUUUGGUUGUUGCUGCCAAAUGUUCCAACACAUAGCUUAUAUCAACUUCCUUGUAACAAAUUUUGCACAUCCAAUCCUCAACUUGAUUUUGUCAAAAAGAAUACGAAAGAGAAAUCGUGUGAUGAUGUCGUGUUAUCAUGAUGUGGCGUGGCAAUGAAAUG
rnacentral:lncRNA from 1 species